CCAGGAGGGGCUGAGUGGUAGAGCAUAGGACUUGAGUGCUUAAGGCUCUGGGUUCCAUCCCCAGCAUUAGGU
rnacentral:tRNA from 1 species